rfam:Angiostrongylus cantonensis strain Taiwan genome assembly, scaffold: ACAC_scaffold0004593
AGCAGCGUGGCGCAGUGGAAGCGUGCUGGGCCCAUAACCCAUAGGUCGGUUCAUCGAAACCACUCGAUGCUA